rnacentral:rRNA from 1 species
CCUACGGGAGGCUGCAGUGAGGAAUAUUGGUCAAUGGGCGGAAGCCUGAACCAGCCAAGUCGCGUGAGGGAAUAAGGCCCUACGGGUCGUAAACCUCUUUUGCCGGGGAGCAAGGGCGGGGACGUGUCCCGGCCCGGAGAGUACCCGGAGAAAAAGCAUCGGCUAACUCCGUGCCAGCAGCCGCGGUAAUACGGAGGAUGCGAGCGUUAUCCGGAUUUAUUGGGUUUAAAGGGUGCGUAGGCGGGGUUUUAAGUCAGCGGUCAAAAUGCGGGGCUCAACCCCGUCCGGCCGUUGAAACUGGGGGGCUUGAGUGGACGAGAAGAAGGCGGAAUGCGUGGUGUAGCGGUGAAAUGCAUAGAUAUCACGCAGAACCCCGAUUGCGAAGGCAGCAUGCCGGCGCCCUACUGACGCUGAGGCACGAAAGUGCGGGGAUCGAACAGGAUUAGAUACCCUUGUAGUC